AUUAGAAAAAUAGGAAGAGGUUGAAGCAAGAAGAGGAAGAGGAGGAACCUGCCAUGAGAUUUCGAAAGAGGAAGAAUGAACGCCGAAAGCGAGGCAAAGAGAAAAAGAAAAAAAGGAAACCUGUAGCGCGCGGGCGGGACCGUGGAGACGAGGGGAAAGCGGGAGAGGGGAAAAGCCAGGGCGCGACGGAACAGGAAGAGAAGGAAGAGGAAAUAAAGAAGAAAAGGGCGAUAGGCGGAGAAGGUGUCAGCGGUCACUCCAAUUCUGCGUUUAUCUGACUCCUUUUUGUCGCUCCCAUACCACUUGCUUGAAGGGGGCGGAGCAUUCCAGGCUAAUAACACGCGCGAAGAGUCGUGAUUGGUGGAGGCGCGUUUUGUGGGCGGGGCGUAAGGGAUUUUUGGAAUCUUCUUUCUAUUGUUCGGUGUCACUUCAGUAGUUCAGCUACAGAGGCGGGGGGAGGACGUGUGUUUCUCGCGCUCUCGUGGAGGAUGUCAUGGCGAGCGAGGAGAUAAAUCUAACAGAGUUUGAGUGCUUUUAAGUUUUGUCUUUCACGGGCGUAAUUCCUUUAAGAUAACCUGUGACAGUGCGUGGCUCUUGAACGUACGUAUCGAGGUUGGAGAACCUCACGUGACCUCAUGACGGGUCAUAGGGAGCGUUGACCUGUGUCAUUAAUGGAAUAUUAUUGCCAGUCCCGAUCGCAAUGACGUGCAGAAUCACGCAAACUAUUGCAAAGUUUCAGAUGGUGCUUCAUGGGAAAACCUCUGUAUGCCAGUGAUAUGGAAGUAUCUCGCAAGACACGACACAGAAGCUUAUUUAUCCUGUGCGUGUAGCCAGGUGUUCUAGUGUUCUAGGAAGGUCAUAGGCGUGUGGAGGAUGAGCGAGUGAGGAGCCCGUCCCCGUGCCUGCAGGUGUGUGCGCUUGCUCGUGCUUGUAGAUUGUAGUGCUGGUUGUAGGAGGAGGAGGAGGAGGAGGAGUUGUGGUAGAAGAAUAGUAUGCUGGCAAGGGAGGUGAUUCAGUUGAUAGAGAGUAAUCGUCGGAGUCUGACAGUAGUGAGAGUAGUAGUAAUAGUAUUUGUUAUUUUGUAGUAGUAGUAGUAAUGA